UGGAGUCUCCUACUGCCCCCCAGUCCCCUUUAUUUGAUCCCCAGGGUCCCCUGUCCUCCCUUCUCCCUCCACCUCCUGACCCCUUUUCUGACCCCUAGAGUCCCCUGUACUCCCCUGUGCCCUCCUCUCUGACCCCUGGAGUCUGUUCCCCCAUUUUAAUCUCCAGUUCCCCCCAGCCGGACCCCUUUUCUGCCCAAAGAAGUCCCCCACAACCCCUGGCUCUCCCACCCCUCCUUCCACCCCCAGAUGUCCUUUCUGCCUUGUAGAGACUCUGUUCACCCCUUUCCUCCCCACAGCCCACUAAGUUCCCCCCCAGACUCUCUUUCAACUCCAUUGAGACCCCACUCCCCUCUUCCCCCCCCAGUAUCCCCCUAAGGUCUCCCCCAAACUCCCUUUCCACCCCAUAGAAGCCUCACUAACCCCUUUCUUCCUCCCACAGCCUCCCCUAUCCACCCCUGGAGUCAUGCAGAAGAAUCUGGAGAUAUCCUAGAGGGGUUUGGGGCAUGCAGAGGGUCCCCAGGGCCACCGGCUGACACUGGGACAACUGCCGGCGGUGCCACCACCGGGACAAGUGCCUGUCCCUGAAGUUUUCUCUGUCACUGUAACUGUGGAGCCUGGAGCCAUACCAACCCAUCUACCUCGAGAGCCCCAUCAGUGUCCUACAGCUCCUGGAGCCAGGUGAUGCUGUCACCCCGACCGUCCCAAGCUGUCCCCCCUGCCACGGUGGCACAACUGGAGCAUGGUGACAUCUUCAUUGAAGAGGCCCGCCUACAGCCGGACCCGCUGACACCUGAGCCCUCUGACGCUGUCACCAUCCUCUGCCACGAGGUCAGGGACACAUGGUAGUGAACUCUAUGCCACCACCAGAGGGGACUGCGUGUGACAUCAGUGUGGAACAGCCGUGAUGCGGCGCCAUCGUCAUCGGGUGUCGCUUUUGGCAGCUGGCGUCGGGUGUCACCGUCAUGCGGAGGGGACAAAAGGACCCCCCUGAGGACACUGCACUGAAGCUGGGAACGCUGUGACCAGCUCGAGGACUUCCCAGUGGAAGUGGGGACACUGCAUCAUGGUGUCACACCCCCAAAGUUGGGGAUACAUUCAUGUCACCCCCUGAGUGUGACCCCCAAAGCCGGGGACAUCCCCCUGUCACACUCCAAUGUUGAGGACACCCCCCACAGUGUCACAUCCCAAAGUUGGGGACACUCCUCUGGGGACCCCUUCUGUGUCCACCCCCACAGACCACCAUUGUUCCCAUGGGGCAGGGGUGACACCCCUUAUUUUGUAAUUAAGGUUUAUUUUUUGAUAAUGGCAU